rnacentral:lncRNA from 1 species
UGUUGUCUUAUCAGUUCCAGAGCAUGCGAAUUUACAUCAUAUAUAAAGGAGAUUUGUUUUCUAUACGUAUCACACCCUCCUUGAUUGCAGACAGAUACCAGGUUGGGAAGCGAAACAAUCGACAAUAUUUGUUUUUAAACGGCAAUAUGGUGUGCGCUUCUACGUAAAUUACUUAAUUUCUGACAAACCUUUAUUGAAAUCGAAAUCAUAAACAAUUAGAUGUUGAAAUGGGUGUACAACACACAAGUGGAGUGGCAAAAUGUUGUCCCCGCAGUUGAGCUUGCAUUGUAUUUCUAGUGGUUAGCUGGCUAUCUACGCAAACUGUGUCCCGAAAAACGCGGCGGAUAGAAGAAUUCUAAGUGACAGAGAUAAGAUACUAUCGAUAGUAUUGUUUCCAAAUUAUCCGUUAACCUAUACACCCACGGGCAAUAGCAAGCUUUAAUAUAUCUAUUGACAUUCACUUUAUGGAGUCAUGUUAAACUCAUCAAUAAUACGUACUUGAAAAUGAUAACGAUAAAUUCAAUAAAAUUAUUCAAUAGUGCGUUAAUUUUCUUAGAAUACUCAAGAAAAAUUGACACCAUUCACAGCAGAUAUCACUUCACAGGGACAGCAUGUUUAAGGAGUUCACCACCACUUUUCGCUUGCGGUCAUUAUUAACACCUUAUAUACUUGCUUA